UACAUAGGGUGCAAGCGUUGUCCGGAAUUACUGGGCGUAAAGAGCUCGUAGGUGGUUUGUCGCGUUGUCCGUGAAAACUCACAACUCAAUUGUGGGCGUGCGGGCGAUACGGGCAGACUGGAGUACUGCAGGGGAGACUGGAAUUCCUGGUGUAGCGGUGGAAUGCGCAGAUAUCAGGAGGAACACCGGUGGCGAAGGCGGGUCUCUGGGCAGUAACUGACGCUGAGGAGCGAAAGCGUGGGGAGCGAACAGG
rnacentral:rRNA from 1 species